rnacentral:rRNA from 1 species
UACGGGGGGGGUAAGCGUUGUUCGGAUUCACUGGGCGUAAAGGGUGCGCAGGUGGGUUGGCAAGUUUGAUGUGAAAGCCCCGGGCUUAACCCGGGAAUGGCAUUGAAUACUGCUGAUCUGGAGGAUCGGAGGGGGGACUGGAAUUCUUGGUGUAGCAGUGAAAUGCGUAGAUAUCAAGAGGAACACCAGUGGCGAAGGCGAGUCCCUGGACGAUACCUGACACUGAGGCACGAAAGCCAAGGGAGCAAACAGG